rnacentral:rRNA from 1 species
GCUCACGGCCAUACUAACCUGAGAACGUCCGAUCUCGGUAACUCAGCAGGGUCGGGCUUCUGGUUAGUACUUGGAUGGGAGACCGCCUGGGAAUACCAGGUACUGGAAGCU